CAGAGGGUGCAAGCGUUAAUCGGAAUUACUGGGCGUAAAGCGAGCGUAGUCGGUUAUUUAAGUCGGAUGUGAAAUCCCCGGGCUCAACCUGGGAAUUGCAUUCGAUACUGGAUAGCUAGAGUUCGGCAGAGGGAAGCGGAAUUUCUGGUGUAGCGGUGAAAUGCGUAGAUAUCAGAAGGAACAUCAGUGGCGAAAGCGGCUUCCUGGACCAGAACUGACGAUCAGGCUCGAAAGCGUGGGGAGCAAAACAGGAUUAGAUACCCUGGUAGUCCACGCCAUAAACGAUGACAACUAGACGUUGGGGACAUAUGGUCCACAGUGUCGCAGCUAACGCGUUAAGUUGUCCGCCUGGGGAGUACGGCCGCAAGGUUG
rnacentral:rRNA from 1 species